GACGAACGCUGGCGGUGUGCUUAACACAUGCAAGUCGAACGGAAAGGCCCUGCUUUUGUGGGGUGCUCGAGUGGCGAACGGGUGAGUAACACGUGAGUAACCUGCCCUUGACUUUGGGAUAACUUCAGGAAACUGGGGCUGAUACCGGAUAGGAGCUCCUGCUGCAUGGUGGGGGUUGGAAAGUUUCGGCUGUUGGGGAUGGACUCGCGGCUUAUCAGCUUGUUGGUGGGGUAGUGGCUUACCAAGGCUUUGACGGGUAGCCGGCCUGAGAGGGUGACCGGGCCCAUUGGGACUGAGAUACGGCCCAGACUGCUACGGGAGACAACAGUGGGGAAUAUUGCACAAUGGGAGGAAGCCUGAUGCGGAAGCGCCGCGUGCGGGAUGACGGCCUUCGGGUUGUAAAAAGCAUUCGCCUGUGACGAAGCGUGAGUGACGGUAAUGGGUAAAGAAGCACCGGCUAACUACGUG
rnacentral:rRNA from 1 species